UGAAAAACAAUUAUGGACUUCCGUAGGUCACUAAUUUUAUAUUAGCUGCCAAUUAUUUUUCCCAAUCCCUAAAAACCCUGUGUUCUUUCCUAUUGUCAAACGCCUCCCUCACGUUCACGCAAACCGCUGCUCGCCCCUCUCACGCUCGCCGACGCAGCAGCUCUCGCCGUCGCAGCAGGUCACCGCCGUCGCCGCAGGUCGCCGGCGCUGCAGCAGAUCUCGCCGUCACACAGAUCACCUGCGCCGCAGCUCUCUAGUCGCAGAAGCUCGCCGUCGCAGGAGCUCGCGCGUCGCAGCAGCUCGGGGUGAGAAUCAGAAUUCAAGAUAGGCAUUUUCUUUAUAAGGGGUACAAUCUAAUUAAAGGUUGUUCCAAUCUCUGACGCCAUCAAGCCAAUUGCCUCCAACCCUUCCAUCUCCAUCCCUAAUUAAAAAAAGUCAAG